CUUCCUGUGGAUCUCAUGAAUCACAGCCUGUCCCGCAAAAAAAUUAAAAAAUCUAAUUCAAUUAGCGGUAUAAUAAGUAGAUAUUAUUUUAAAUUGUUUUACUCUGCAGCCUUUUUUAAAUUACCAGCAGGUGUUGCUGUUGUGUUUCCAACUCACCUCUGUCAAUCAAUGUUUAUAAGAGAACUGAUCAUCCAUUCACUGUAGCUGCUGCUGUACAGUAAACAGUUAUGCAUACAAAUAGCCACUAGGGGGCAACCUCAGACCUCAAAAAAAC